rnacentral:lncRNA from 1 species
GACCCUUCCCAGCCAACAUGAGGUGGAUGGUGUCCUCUGUUGCUUGCCUUACCACAGGUCCCAAAGAAUCAGGCCAAUUGUGGACUGAAACCUCCACAACCAUGAGUCAAAAGAAAUGUCCCCUUUUAAGGUGCAUACCAAAGGAGGAACUCACAAGUGGGCCCCGGGAAGAGUAAGAUCACUUCGAUGGACCAGGUCUGAUCCUGGCAGGCAUGGCCAUGGGACCAAAUUCCAGCUGGAGAAUCAGAGAUUGAGGAGAUGUGUGCAAGUUUCUGGACAGAUAAUUAAACGGAGGGUUUGCCUUGACUGUCUUUUUAUCUCUCAUUGUGCACAGGAUUAGAAUACAAAGACAGGAGCCCUGUCAUUGGACAGUGCAGCCUUCUCUUGAACAAUGGGGUUGAACCCUGAAGAUGAAAAUCUAAUGAACUAGAAGGAACUCAAGGCAUCAGUAAUAUGUAUACCUCAACUGCCUUACAUCACCCUGCCUUUCUGGCAGGGUCAGAGAAAUGCAGGCUCUCUUAUUCAGUAUUGUAUUCAUUGUCUGUUGCUUGCAGUCAUCCUUUUUGCUCAAAGGACACACUAAGUAUUUAGUAUGUGGUAGGUAUGACUCCUGUAUAUUUUGGAGAAUUUUACUCCCCCCAUCAUCACAAGUAGAGAAGAACUUGCAGAGGACUUUCUGUAA